rnacentral:rRNA from 1 species
UACGUAGGGGGCAAGCGUUGUCCGGAUUUAUUGGGCGUAAAGAGCGUGUAGGCGGCUAUACAGGUCCGCUGUGAAAACUCGAGGCUCAACCUCGAGACGUCGGUGGAAACCGUAUGGCUAGAGUCCGGAAGAGGCGAGUGGAACUCCUGGUGUAGCGGUGGAAUGCGCAGAUAUCAGGAAGAACACCAACGGCGAAGGCAGCUCGCUAGGACGGUACUGACGCUGAGACGCGAAAGCGUGGGGAGCGAACAGG